AACCUUUUUUCCAAUUCAUUAACCAUAUGCUCUUUACGUCUCUGGUAUGUCCUUAAACGUACUUCGUAAAACUCGGUCAAAAUAUCUUCAACACUGUCAUACUUCUUGAUCCGUCCAGAUGCAUCAAAAGCAAUCAUAUUACUCGUUGCUUGAGUACGCGACAGUUUAAACUUAACUUCCAAGGAUUCAUUUAAUGCUUCUUUCAUGCCAGCUUCGGUAAGCGUGACAUUAAAGUGAACAUUUCCUUCACCGUGAUGGCUUUCAUAGUCCACGAUGAAUUUACGAAUUUUUUCCGUACCAACAAGACCAGCCUCCAGAUACUCCUUCAUAUCCUGAGUCCAAAAU